CUUCUGGUACAGUCGUACUAGAAACACGGGCGACGGCGGAUCUGUCACCCGGCCCGUGCUU
rnacentral:ncRNA from 1 species